GACGAACGCUGGCGGCGUGCUUAACACAUGCAAGUCGAACGAAGUGGCGAACGGGUGAGUAACGCGUAAUCAACCUCCCCUUCAGAGGGGGACAACAGUUGGAAACGAAUGCUAAUACCCAAUACUGAAGGAGGGGAUUGCGUCUGAUUAGCUAGUUGGGGGGGUAACGGCCCACCAAGGCGAUGAUCAGUAGCCGGGCUGGAGAGGUUGACGGCCACAAUUGGACUGAGGCACGGCCCAGACUCCUACGGUAGGCAGCAGGGGGGAAACAUCCGCAAAGGACGGAAGUCUGACGGAGCAAAGCCGGCGGAGUGAUGACGGCCUUCGGGUUGUAAAGCUCUGUUAAUCGGGACGCGGUACCGGAAGAGAAAGCCACGGCUAACUACGUGCCAGCCGCCGCGGUAAUAC
rnacentral:rRNA from 1 species